GCGUGGCUUCCGGAGCUAACGCGUUAAGUAGACCGCCUGGGGAGUACGGCCGCAAGGUUAAAACUCAAAUGAAUUGACGGGGGCCCGCACAAGCGGUGGAGCAUGUGGUUUAAUUCGAUGCAACGCGAAGAACCUUACCUGGUCUUGACAUCCACAGAAGAAUCCAGAGAUGGAUUUGUGCCUUCGGGAACUGUGAGACAGGUGCUGCAUGGCUGUCGUCAGCUCGUGUUGUGAAAUGUUGGGUUAAGUCCCGCAACGAGCGCAACCCUUAUCCUUUGUUGCCAGCGGUUAGGCCGGGAACUCAAAGGAGACUGCCAGUGAUAAACUGGAGGAAGGUGGGGAUGACGUCAAGUCAUCAUGGCCCUUACGACCAGGGCUACACACGUGCUACAAUGGCGCAUACAAAGAGAAGCGACCUCGCGAGAGCAAGCGGACCUCAUAAAGUGCGUCGUAGUCCGGAUUGGAGUCUGCAACUCGACUCCAUGAAGUCGGAAUCGCUAGUAAUCGUGGAUCAGAAUGCCACGGUGAAUACGUUCCCGGGCCUUGUACACACCGCCCGUCACACCAUGGGAGUGGGUUGCAAAAGAAGUAGGUAGCUUAACCUUCGGGAGGGCGCUUACCACUUUGUGAUUCAUGACUGGGGUGAAGUCGUAACAAGGUAACCGUAGGGGAACCUGCGGUUGGAUCACCUCCUUACCUUAAAGAA
rnacentral:rRNA from 1 species